UUCAAGUCUGAAAAUAGAUAAGUACCAUAUUUGAUAUUCCUUGACAAUCAUACAUUCAAGAUGUUUCUACUUUGACAGAAAAUUUACCCUAACCCUGCUAAAUUUCUAUUAUGAACUUGUCCAUCUUUCAAUUUGGACAGUUUCAUUAACUAUUAAAAUAGGUGAAUACCAAAAAGAUACACAUACUGACUGAAAGGCGAACAGUGCAGAUCAUGAUCAGACUGCAUGGACGUGCAGGCUGAUAACAAUCUGCACUGGUCACAAAGGCAGAAUCAAUCGCGUCCAGCAUGAUACCGGUUAAUACUCUAAAUAUGGCUACUUUGAGACAAAUCUUCCAAAGAUAAAGUCAAUUGACCUCAAACUCUGUUUCAUGUAAAACCAAGUAAAUACUGACAAGAAAUCCAUGAAAAUUAACUCACAGUAAUGUCAUACAGGUCUUUCAUUGGGUGAAAAUUUUGUGGACUUACAAAUAUUGACAUUGAUUUAUCAUUCAGACUCUUCUGCGGAAGUAUAGGUUCAUAGUAUAGCAUGAUGUAUAGAUACAUCAAAAUUAACUUCUACCUGCCCUUAAAAUUUAAUGUAAGAAGGAACAAGCACAGUUUAAGUAAUAAAAAAAUCAACAUUACAUUCUCUUUCCUUUUGAACAUUCAAAUCUAAAUUUUACAUUUCUGUAUCAACAUAUCAUGGAUAACACAAAAAUGACCAAUACAUAAUGAACUUAGUGGAGAGGAUCUGUACUUGCAAUAAAAAUUGUCCAGUAAUGAACCAUUUCUUUUCAGAUGAGCAGUAUAAAUAGACUGGCUUUGAUGGAAAAUGCAUUCUGAAACAAACAAUAUUAUUAACUGUUUUAACACGAUUAUCACCCAGAAUAAAAAGAGCCUGCAUAAUUGCCAAAAUGUCCUGUAUCUAACAGGUUUCAGAAAAAAAGAUGCCUUGUACUUUUCAAGUCAUAGCAUAAUUUAGAUUUUUACCAUAUUAUAUAAAUGUUAUCAAGCCAAUAAAAGAAUGUGUAUAUCUUCAAUAAUGCACUUUAACUAUGUACUAUGUUCACAAAACACGUCUUGUAUUUUUCAGUUUAUCAUAGGAUCCACUUUUAGUGAGGAACUGAUUGGCUAACAAGCGUCAAGCCAUACGUCUCAUUCAAUUUGGGCAGUACCACUUAUCAUUCGAAGCUCUUGCGGCCAUUUUGUGCAGCGAAGUGGAACAUGCCUGCGAUAUGCACAACUGGGGUUCGUACUGAUCACUCCUGCAAAGUUUUGUCGAAAUCCAGCCAGCAGUUUGACCUGUGGAAGCUGGACAAGAUUUUUCUUGGAAGCCAUUAUGUGCAGCGAAGCGGAACGUGUCAGUGAUAUGCACAACUAGGCUUGGUACUUAUCACUCCUGUGAAGUUUUGUCAAAAUCUGUCCAGCAGUUCGACCUGUGAAAGCUGGACAAGAUUUUUCUUGGAAGCCAUUAUGUGUAGCGAAGUGGAACGUGUCAGCGAUAUGCACAACUAGGCUUGGUACUGAUCACUUCUGUGAAGUUUUGUCGAACUCUGGCCAGCAGUUUGACCUGUGAAAGCUGGACAAGCUUAAUACGGACAGACAGACGGUGAAGGCAAAAACGAUAUGUCUCCCCCACCUAUGGGGGAGACAUAACUACUAGUAAUACUAUAUCUACAAUCUAUUUUAUCCAGUAGACCACUGAAUUAAGACUCCCUCUCACAGGACGUGUAUAUAAUUUCUUAUCUGAACUGUCUGACUGAAUGACUCCCAGCAUGAAAAUUAUGCAAAGCCAUCAUCAAGCUAAAUGUCAGUGACAAUUUGCUGAUUCAAUUAUUUUUACGUCUUCAACCUUUUGACAAUAUGAGGCUUAAUUAUU